rnacentral:rRNA from 1 species
AGCGAACGCUGGCGGCGUGCCUAACACAUGCAAGUCGAGCGAACCAGGAGUAAAGGUAACUUUGUUCCUGGUUCGCGGCGAACGGGUGAGUAACACGUGGGUAACCUGCCCUCAGGAGGGGGAUAACUCGGGGAAACCUGAGAUAAUACCCCAUAAGACCACAAGCUGAGAUGCUUGUGGUAAAAGGAGCAAUCCACCUGAGGAUGGGCCCGCGGCCUAUCAGGUAGUUGGUAGGGUAAUGGCCUACCAAGCCUAUGACGGGUAGCCGAGCUGAGAGGCUGGCCGGCCACACUGGGACUGAGACACGGUCCAGACUCCUACGGGAGGCAGCAGUGGGGAAUAUUGGGCAAUGGGCGAAAGCCUGACCCAGCGACGCCGCGUGGGGGAAGAAGGCCUUCGGGUUGUAAACCCCUUUUGCAGAGGACGACUAAAGACUGUACUCUGCGAAUAAGCCACGGCUAACUCUGUG